UUUUGGACAAUGGGGGCAACCCUGAUCCAGCAAUGCCGCGUGAGUGGAGAAGGCCUUCGGGUUGUAAAGCUCUUUUGUCAGGGAAGAAACACCGGCUCUAACACAGUCCGGGAAUGACGGUACCUGAAGAAUAAGCACCGGCUAACUACGUGCCAGCAGCCGCGGUAAUACGUAGGGUGCAAGCGUUAAUCGGAAUUACUGGGCGUAAAGCGUGCGCAGGCGGUUAUACAAGACAGGCGUGAAAUCCCCGGGCUUAACCUGGGAAUGGCGCCUGUGACUGUAUAGCUAGAGUGUGUCAGAGGGGGGUAGAAUUCCACGUGUAGCAGUGAAAUGCGUAGAUAUGUGGAGGAAUACCAAUGGCGAAGGCAGCCCCCUGGGAUAACACUGACGCUCAUGCACGAA
rnacentral:rRNA from 1 species